rnacentral:rRNA from 1 species
UACGGAGGGGGCUAGCGUUGUUCGGAAUUACUGGGCGUAAAGCGCACGUAGGCGGCUUUGUAAGUUAGAGGUGAAAGCCCGGAGCUCAACUCCGGAACUGCCUUUGAGACUGGAUUGCUAGAAUCUUGGAGAGGCGAGUGGAAUUCCGAGUGUAGAGGUGAAAUUCGUAGAUAUUCGGAAGAACACCAGUGGCGAAGGCGGCUCGCUGGACAAGUAUUGACGCUGAGGUGCGAAAGCGUGGGGAGCAAACAGG